GAAGCGGCAACAGCUCAAAUUUGAAAUCUGGCCCUUUCGGGGUCCGAGUUGUAAUUUGUAGAGAGUGUUUCGGGUGAGACCACGGUCUAAGUCCAUUGGAACAUGGCGUCAUAGAGGGUGAGAAUCCCGUAUGUGACUGUGGAUCGAGCCCAUGUGAAGCCUCUUCGACGAGUCGAGUUGUUUGGGAAUGCAGCUCAAAAUGGGUGGUAAAUUUCAUCUAAAGCUAAAUACUGGCUGGAGACCGAUAGCGCACAAGUAGAGUGAUCGAAAGAUGAAAAGCACUUUGGAAAGAGAGUCAAACAGUACGUGAAAUUGUUGAAAGGGAAGCGCUUGCAACCAGACCUGUCCGUAGGUGAUCAGCCGCUGUUCUCAGUGGUGCACUCGCUCUGCGAUCAGGCCAGCAUCGGUUCGGGCGGUCGGAUAAAGGCCUUGGGAAUGUAGCUUCCUUCGGGGAGUCUUAUAGCCCUCGGUGCAAUGCGGCCAGCCGGGACCGAGGACCGCGCUUCGGCUAGGAUGCUGGCGUAAUGGUUGUAAGCGACCCGUCUUGAAACACGGACCAAGGAGUCUAACAUCUAUGCGAGUGUUUGGGCGUUAAACCCAUGCGCGGAAUGAAAGUGAACGGAGGUGAGAACCCUUAAGGGCGCAUCAUCGACCGAUCCAGAUGUCUUCGGAUGGAUUUGAGUAUGAGCAUAGCUGUUGGGACCCGAAAGAUGAUGAACUAUGCCCGAAUAGGGUGAAGCCAGAGGAAACUCUGGUGGAGGCUCGCAGCGGUUCUGACGUGCAAAUCGAUCGU
rnacentral:rRNA from 1 species